AUUGAACGCUGGCGGCAUGCCUUACACAUGCAAGUCGAACGGCAGCACGGGAGCAAUCCUGGUGGCGAGUGGCGAACGGGUGAGUAAUAUAUCGGAACGUGCCCAGUCGUGGGGGAUAACGUAGCGAAAGCUACGCUAAUACCGCAUACGAUCUAUGGAUAAAAGCGGGGGAUCGCAAGACCUCGCGCGAUUGGAGCGGCCGAUAUCAGAUUAGGUAGUUGGUGAGGUAAAGGCUCACCAAGCCGACGAUCUGUAGCUGGUCUGAGAGGACGACCAGCCACACUGGGACUGAGACACGGCCCAGACUCCUACGGGAGGCAGCAGUGGGAAUUUUGGACAAUGGGCGCAAGCCUGAUCCAGCAAUGCCGCGUGCAGGAUGAAGGCC
rnacentral:rRNA from 1 species